UACGGGGGGAGCAAACGUUGUUCGGAAUCACUGGGCGUAAAGGGCGUGUAGGCGGCUGAAUAAGUGGGAUGUUAAAUCCCCCGGCUCAACCGGGGACCUGCAUCUCAUACUGUUCAGCUCGAGCACAUCAGAGGAGACUGGAAUUCCCGGUGUAGCGGUGAAAUGCGUAGAUAUCUGGAGGAACACCGGUGGCGAAGGCGGCGUCCUGGACCAACACUGACACUGAGGAGCGAAAGCCAGGGGAGCAAACGGG
rnacentral:rRNA from 1 species